UACGUAGGGGGCAAGCGUUGUCCGGAAUCAUUGGGCGUAAAGCGCGUGUAGGCGGCUGAGUAAGUCUGCUCUGAAAGCCCGGGGCUCAACCCCGGGAGGCGGGUGGAUACUGCUCAGCUCGAGUCCGGAAGAGGAGUGUGGAAUUCCUGGUGUAGCGGUGAAAUGCGCAGAUAUCAGGAAGAACAUCCGUGGCGAAGGCGGCACUCUGGGACGGUACUGACGCUGAGACGCGAAAGCGUGGGGAGCGAACAGG
rnacentral:rRNA from 1 species